UGUCUCGCUCCGCCCCCUGAACCAAAGUAGGGAAAGCUGCUCCAACCGAGGGCCUCUACACAGGUGGUGCCGCAAAGACCUCCUCCUGGGGUGCGGCCACAGGCGCCGCACGUGAAGAACUGGGCGCGGGGGACGGCGCUCUCGGUGCGACGUCCACAACGGGUGUUGGCGGUGUAGGGGCCUGAGUCUCCCUAGAAGCUGCCGCCUGCUGCAAUAGUAGGUCCUCCAGACGCUUCAUCCGCGCCUCCUGUCGGCGAGCCGCCUCGGUCUGCUGUCGGGCCACCUCCGCCUGCUGAGUGACUAAAUCAGUGAGGGCCGCAAGCUGGCCCCUCAACUCACGGACCUCGCUGGAUCCGGAGGUAGCGGAGGUCUCGACCUCCUCGAAGUUUGCCGCAUUGUCCGCCCCGGCAGAAUGGGGCUAGUAAUCGGCAUUGUCACUACAAAACAUAAAAGCGCAAGUUAGUAAAACCCGCGCUAUCGCAUCCCCGCUCAAUAAGCAAUACCCAAAUCAUGCGAAAGUAAGAAAGUGUUAUCCACAACUAACUCCCGAUAUUACGUUGUCGGCCGCCAACGUAACCGUCCGCGAAGUUAGAAGCUAUACACUUCAAUUGAACUCCACUUUUUAGAGUUAUCAAGAUACCCAAUCAAGAUACUUUCUCUCACAAAUCAAAUAGACCUCAUCUCUCACGAGCCUAUUUUCUAUAGUCCAACCGGCCUAAGGUUUGCUAGGUCCCCUAAGACUCAACCCUAGGCUCUGAUACCAAAUUAAUCUGUCACGCCCCGGGACGCAGCGGAAGCCCGCCCGGCGCGUGCCCAGACCAGCCAUACGUCUAAAACAUAUAAGGCGUCUAAAAACAACAAUAAAUAAAGCGGUAAUAAAAAACAACUAGGAGUGUCAGAGCAUGAUAUAAUACUAAGUUCUACAACAGAGAAAGGAGCAUAAAGCUGGAAUCCACUAAUAAAAGCAUAAAGUAAUACAAAGAAAAUCCCAAAUACAAGUGCUAAAAGUAGAUACAUAGGUGGUCUCUAUACAUGGAUACAAAAUCUCUCACU
rnacentral:lncRNA from 1 species